rnacentral:rRNA from 1 species
CUACGGGCCGCUGCAGUGAGGAAUAUUGCACAAUGGGGGGAACCCUGACGCAGCAACGCCGCGUGGAGGAUGACGCGUUUCGGUGUGUAAACUCCUUUUAUAUGUCAAGAAAAUGACGGUAGCAUAUGAAUAAGCACCGGCUAACUCCGUGCCAGCAGCCGCGGUAAUACGGAGGGUGCAAGCGUUACUCGGAAUCACUGGGCGUAAAGGACGCGUAGGCGGGUUGGAAAGUCAGGUGUGAAAUCCUACAGCUUAACUGUAGAACUGCACUUGAAACUUCUAAUCUAGAGUAUGGGAGGGGGAGAUGGAAUUAGUGGUGUAGGGGUAAAAUCCGUAGAUAUCACUAGGAAUACCUAAAGCGAAGGCGAUCUCCUGGAACAUUACUGACGCUAAGGCGUGAAAGCGUGGGGAGCAAACAGGAUUAGAUACCCCAGUAGUC